AGAUGCUGCCGUGGGCCUGAAUAUCGGAGAGAAACAGACUUAAGAAUGUUGAGCUAAAAUGAAUGUCACAUCUCUACUGGCUCAUUUCUCAGAAGAAGCAAAUGUUGCAAAGGUAAUAAGCUCCAAAUGACAUCAAAAUGCCCAGCUUACAUGUGUGUCAUGAUUUUCACCAUGUUAACUACAAGUUUUCACUACACAGAAAAAAAGCAAAGAGGAAGGCCAUUGGAGGAUGGGUAGAAGGAAGAGAUGGAAAAGGAUAAUUUAUUGAGAGAAACAAUAGAUACUCAGUUUUCAGUGUUUAUAUAGUGAAGAAGCAAGACCUUUCUGCCUAUGAAUCCAAAGGAUAUUCUUGAGAAUUAUACUCAAGAUGUAUGAGACCUCUGUGAUUCCUGACUUGUUUCAGAAGAUAAGGCCUAUUGUAAAUGGCGACAUGAAUAAUUUGUUUUUCAGGAAUAACUUGUGACCAUUCCAAACCACCCUGGACAUUAAUGAUAA